AAAUGAAAUAAGCAUGGUUAGGUGCACAGAGAGUAACCUUGAGUCAUCAUGUCUGCUCACUUUGAUGCCUUUUGGCUCUGAUAAGUGGGCCUGGAUUAGACUCACAUCA